rnacentral:lncRNA from 1 species
ACUUACCGGGAGCGCUUAGAAUGACAAAAGCACAGAAAGAAAGAAGCUGUUCAGAAGACAGGAAACCAAGGAAACAGGAGCCCCUGCAGGGUUCAAAAACAGCCUCAAUGUGAGCUCUGUGAUGUCCCUUGCACAGGAGCAGGGAACAAGCAACAGAAGAUGAUGAAACCAGAAGCAGGGCUGCAGUUGUUUCUGAAAACGUACCUGGAGGGCUGCUGGAUUUCACAACCUGUUUUACAUGACCAUGUGGAAGAUGUUAACAUCUUUCCUCUCAAGACAGGAAAUAAUGAAGGAAAAAUAUUUGACUUCAUUGUGAGCUCCAAGUGCAGUUUUGAUGGCUUCAGUGCAGAGGAUAUGCAUGUUAAGCAGUGAAGAGGAACAGACUGCAAUACCAGGAAAAAAGGUUCUAGAUCUAAUAUAUGAGGAGAUGAUGAAAAAACAAAACCAAAAGAUUCUGAUAAAGAGACAGAGUGAGGAAAAGCAGUGUAGACACAUAGGAAUCAGGCAAGUCACCCAUACAAAAAUGGGUUUUCCUGGGGUUCUGUUGGAAUCGCUUCUGUUCUU